rnacentral:pre_miRNA from 1 species
UAUAUACUCCCUCCGUCCUAAAAUUCUUGUCUUAGAUUUGUCUAGAUACGGAUGUAUCUAAUACUAAAACGUGACUUGAUACAUCCGUACUUAGACAAAUUUAAGACAAGAAUUUUGGGACGGAGGGAGUACUAC